UGCCAGACUCCUACGGGAGGCAGCAGUGGGGAAUAUUGGGCAAUGGGCGCAAGCCUGACCCAGCAACGCCGCGUGAAGGAAGAAGGCUUUCGGGUUGUAAACUUCUUUUCUCAGGGACGAAGAAAGUGACGGUACCUGAGGAAUAAGCCACGGCUAACUACGUGCCAGCAGCCGCGGUAAUACGUAGGUGGCAAGCGUUAUCCGGAUUUACUGGGUGUAAAGGGCGUGUAGGCGGGACUGCAAGUCAGAUGUGAAAACCACGGGCUCAACCUGUGGCCUGCAUUUGAAACUGUAGUUCUUGAGUACUGGAGAGGCAGACGGAAUUCCUAGUGUAGCGGUGAAAUGCGUAGGUAUUAGGAGGAACACCAGUGGCGAAGGCGGUCUGCUGGACAGCAACUGACGCUGAGGCGCGAAAGCAUGGGUAGCGAACGGGAUUAGAUACCCCUGUAAC
rnacentral:rRNA from 1 species